GAUGAACGCUGGCGGCGUGCUUAACACAUGCAAGUCGAACGGAAAGGCCCAAGCUUGCUUGGGUACUCGAGUGGCGAACGGGUGAGUAACACGUGGGUGAUCUGCCCUGCACUUCGGGAUAAGCCUGGGAAACUGGGUCUAAUACCGGAUAGGACCACUUCUUGGAUGUUGUGGUUGAAAGUUUUUUCGGUGUGGGAUGAGCUCGCGGCCUAUCAGCUUGUUGGUGGGGUAAUGGCCUACCAAGGCGUCGACGGGUAGCCGGCCUGAGAGGGUGUACGGCCACAGUGGGACUGAGAUACGGCCCAGACUCCUACGGGAGGCAGCAGUGGGGAAUAUUGCACAAUGGGCGCAAGCCUGAUGCAGCGACGCCGCGUGGGGGAUGACGGCCUUCGGGUUGUAAACUCCUUUCGCUAGGGACGAAGCGUUUUGUGACGGUACCUGGAGAAGAAGCACCGGCUAACUACGUG
rnacentral:rRNA from 1 species